CACGUAGGGUGCGAGCGUUGUCCGGAAUUAUUGGGCGUAAAGAGCUCGUAGGCGGUGUGUCGCGUCGGCCGUGAAAACCUGCAGCUUAACUGUGGGCGUGCGGUCGAUACGGGCAUCACUGGAGUUCGGCAGGGGAGACUGGAAUUCCUGGUGUAGCGGUGAAAUGCGCAGAUAUCGGGAAGAACACCCGUGGCGAAGGCGGCUCUCUGGGACGGUACUGACGCUGAGACGCGAAAGCGUGGGGAGCGAACAGG
rnacentral:rRNA from 1 species